rnacentral:rRNA from 1 species
UACGGAGGGUGCAAGCGUUAAUCGGAAUUACUGGGCGUAAAGCGUGCGCAGGCGGCUCUAUAAGACAGAUGGGAAAUCCCCGGGCUCAACCUGGGAACUGCAUUUGUGACUGUAGAGCUGGAGUGCGGCAGAGGGGGAUGGAAUUCCGCGUGUAGCAGUGAAAUGCGUAGAUAUGCGGAGGAACACCGAUGGCGAAGGCAAUCCCCUGGGCCUGCACUGACGCUCAUGCACGAAAGCGUGGGGAGCAAACAGG